UGGACCCAAACACUUAGCCUAAUAGUAAAGUUUAACAGAUAACAGAAGCCCAACAGCGAGACCAACUAGGUAGAAGAAAACACAAAAUUAAUUGAAACAAGAAAACUAAAAGUCCCUCUGUCCAGUCAAAAUUAAUGAAACUGCCAUCCACCACUCCACAAAUCUCACAUUAUUGCUGUCAGUUGCAAUUCUUCGGAGAAGCUACUUUUCAUCAGAAUCGUCUAUCUUCUUCUCUAAUAGCAUGAAAGACCUUAGAGAUUCUCAGCUAGGUUCACGAUCCCCCUGCCUUCCCAGUCCCAACGAAGUGACGGUGUAAGAAGGCACACUUUGUUCCAGAUGCUCGGAAGGUUGGACAAUCGGGUCGGCACUCAAGUUACACUAUCCAUAAAUUUUGGUAGUUUUUGGAACGUUUAUUUUGGAUUAUAUGGCAUGUAAUAGGCUUUUGUGUCAUUAUUAUUUGUUUUGGAUAUGUAAAACGUUAGGUAUGAUCUUAAAUGCUAAAUGUUAACUUAUAUGAUACAUGUGUAUGAGGUAAAUUAUUUUGGAUGCAAAUAUGAAUGUUAUAUGUUAAAGUAA